GAGAUUCAAAGUGAGUUUAAUCAUUUAAUUCAUAACAUUUUGUAGGAAUAGCAGGGAUUAUUACUCUGAUUAUGUAUGUUUUUACAGGACGUAAAACACAAAUGGAGGAAGUUGUUCACAAUCGUGAUACAAAUUAAACAAAAACCUUUGCAACACAUCUUUAAAAAACUGAACUCCAUAUUAAGAUGUAAGGCAGACUAACUAGGUAUUGAUCACAGCCUGUAGACUAACUAGGUAUUGAUCACAGCCUGUAGACUAACUAGGUAUUGAUCAGUCUGUAGACUAACUAGGUAUUGAUCACAGCCUGUAGACUAACUAGGUAUUGAUCAGUCUGCAGACUAAAUAGGUUAUUGAUCACAGCCUGUAGACUAACUAGGUAUUGAUCAGUCUGCAGACUAACUAGGUAUUGAUCACAGCCUGUAGACUAACUAGGUAUUGAUCAGUCUGCAGACUAAAUAGGUUAUUGAUCACAGCCUGUAGACUAACUAGGUAUUGAUCAGUCU
ensembl:lncRNA